rnacentral:rRNA from 1 species
CCUACGGGAGGCAGCAGUGAGGAAUAUUGGUCAAUGGACGAGAGUCUGAACCAGCCAAGUAGCGUGAAGGAUGACUGCCCUCUGGGUUGUAAACUUCUUUUAUAUGGGAAUAAAAUGUUCCACGUGUGGGAUUUUGUAUGUACCAUAUGAAUAAGGAUCGGCUAACUCCGUGCCAGCAGCCGCGGUAAUACGGAGGAUCCGAGCGUUAUCCGGAUUUAUUGGGUUUAACGGGAGCGUAGGUGGAUUGUUAAGUCAGUUGUGAAAGUUUGCGGCUCAACCGUAAAAUUGCAGUUGAAACUGGCAGUCUUGAGUACAGUAGAGGUGGGCGGAAUUCGUGGUGUAGCGGUGAAAUGCUUAGAUAUCACGAAGAACUCCGAUUGCGAAGGCAGCUCACUGGACUGCAACUGACACUGAGGCUCGAAAGUGUGGGUAGCAAACAGGAUUAGAUACCCCAGUAGUC